UGAAAUCAAGUAGGAUUACCC
rnacentral:rRNA from 1 species